rnacentral:rRNA from 1 species
UACGAAUGGAGCGAGCGUUGUUCGGAAUCACUGGGCGUAAAGCGUGCGCAGGCGGUUUUGAAAGUUAGAAGUGAAAGCCCAGGGCUUAACCUUGGAAUUGCUUUUAAAACUUCAAGACUAGAGUAUUGGAGAGGUUGGCGGAAUUCCGAGUGUAGAGGUGAAAUUCGCAGAUAUUCGGAGGAACACCAAUGGCGUAGGCAGCCAACUGGACAAUUACUGACGCUCAUGCACGAAAGCGUGGGGAUCAAACAGG